rnacentral:lncRNA from 1 species
UACCUGGAUCUACGCUCAUCGCCACGCUUCUGUGGAAUAUCUGGAAGUCCCGCAAUCGGUUUAUCUUUCGUCAUCAGAGUCCUGCUCCAUCCUUUGUUAUAGCUGAAGCUCACAGUCAGGUCUGUAUUGCUGCCAUCUCUUCUGCUUCUGUGGAUCGACCGCAUUCAGAUCUGGACAGCUUAUGGCGUCCGCCUGAUUCAGGAGUUCUUAAGUUGAAUGUAGAUGGGGCUUUCAAGCCAGGCAAUGAUCGGGGAUUAGUCGCCUUCGUUUGCCGAGAUCAUAAAGGAAAAAUCAUUGAAGGACUUACCAAGACCGUAACCGCGUCGUCUGCUUUGCAGGUGGAAGCUCAAGCUUUGUGUUUUGCUCUCAAUCAUUUGAUCAACUCAAACCGAACCUCUGAUCCCGUGCUUAUUGAAUCUGACUGCCUGGUUUUGGUGGACGCCGUGCACGAUCCUCUUCUGUCGCCAUGGGAGGUUCACCCCUUCAUAGCCGAAGCUGCGUUUCUUCUUUCUCGCCUCGUCAAAUCGCGAUUUUCGUUUUGCCCUAGAACGGCCAAUGCUGCUGCGGAUUGGGCUGCUAAGGCCCAUGACAAUGGUUUUUUGAUGCCUUCUUGGGCUUCCUUUCCUCCGGCUCCUUUGCUC